UCAGCGUCCCAAGUAGCUGGGAUUACAGGCAUGUGCCACCACGCAUGGCUAAUUUUUGUAUUUUUGGUAGAGAUGGAGUUUCACCAUGUUGGCCAGGCUAGUCUCGAACUCCUGACCUCAGGUGAUUCACCCACCUCUGCCUCCCAAAGUGCUGGGGUUACAGGUGUGAGCCACCACACCCAGUCAAUAUCGAAGUUAACAGUAUGAUGAGGGCAGGCUUAGCAUAUGCCUACUUUUCUUUCUGCCAAAAUCUCAUGAAACACAAAAGGUUUAAAGAAAAAGUCAGGCGCAGUAGCUCAUGCCUGUAAUCAAAAAAUCAAAAAAUUAGCCAGGUAUGGUGGCAUGUGGUCACCUGUGGUCCCAGCUACAAAGGAGGCUGAGACAGGAGGAUUACUUGAGCCAAGGAGGUCAAGGCUGCAGUGAGCUGUGUUCAUGCCACUGCACUUCAGCCUGGGCUACAUAGCAAGACCCUGUCACACACACAUACACCCCAUACUGAGAAGGCUGGAAAACAGAUGAAAACACUGAGUCCAUUGAUGACAUGACCAUUAGCCAGUCCCUCUA
rnacentral:lncRNA from 1 species